GCUUACGGCCAUACCACCCUGAACACGCCCGAUCUUGUCUGAUCUCGGAAGCUAAGCAGGGUCAGGCCUGGUCAGUACUUGGUUGGGAAACCGCCUGGGAAUACCAGGUGCUGUAAGCU
ensembl:rRNA 5S_rRNA 5S ribosomal RNA